rnacentral:rRNA from 1 species
GACGAACGCUGGCGGCGUGCUUAACACAUGCAAGUCGAACGCUGAAGCUUGGUGCUUGCACUGGGUGGAUGAGUGGCGCACGGGUGAGUAAUACGUGAGUAACCUGCCCUUGACUCUGGGAUAAGCCUGGGAAACUGGGUCUAAUACUGGAUAUGACAUGCCACUGCAUGGUGGUGUGUGGAAAGGGUUUUACUGGUUUUGGAUGGGCUCACGGCCUAUCAGCUUGUUGGUGGGGUAAUGGCCUACCAAGGCGACGACGGGUAGCCGGCCUGAGAGGGUGACCGGCCACACUGGGACUGAGACACGGCCCAGACUCCUACGGGAGGCAGCAGUGGGGAAUAUUGCACAAUGGGCGGAAGCCUGAUGCAGCGACGCCGCGUGAGGGAUGACGGCCUUCGGGUUGUAAACCUCUUUCAGCACGGAAGAAGCGAGAGUGACGGUACGUGCAGAAGAAGCGCCGGCUAACUACGUG